GCAUACACUGGGGAGGACACACAUAGCAUGAGAAGGCCCCCAGGGGCCACAUGCCUUCCUCCCACCCCACCUCUCCCCGUCCCCCCCCCCUCCCCAGGCUGAGGAGCUUCCCUAGGUGCUUGGUUGGUUUCUGCAGGGUCCCUGAGGUUAGGGGAUAUCAGCUUCAUUGAAUACACACCUCCUGUGCCAUUCCUCACAGAAGUUUCAGGAUGGGGGGUGCAUAUUGGCAGCUGACGGCCCUGAUCUGGUAGGCCAGUAUGUUUCGUUUGACAGUUCGAUGGUUUGCCAACAUCUGACAAGGUUUUACAUCAAACUCUCCUGCCAGCUUAUCACAAGGUGCGGCCACCCUGGACCUACAUUCCUACAGAGCAACAGGGGCAGAGGCGCCCUAUAGAUAAAGCUCACAAGCCGGAAAACAAGUAUUCCCUUUGGCAGCUGAGCCCUUGCUCUAGAAAAAUGGAUCAUCUUGCGGGGGGAAUCCCAUGCCUGCUCCCCUCUCACGCCUGCUCGGUCCUCCCCACAGGGUCUUGCAGACCCAAAUGUGAUGGGACUCAGUCUGAGGCAGGAGCUUGGGAGCCUCAGCGUUCACUCGCCUCAGCCAAGCGGCAAAGUGUCUCCUGUAGUGUUUCCCACUUGGGGGCUGCACCCACCCCGCCCCCGCCUGGUUCUAGGCUUGACAGCUCAAGGGCAAAUCCUCCUCCUCUCCCUGUCACCUUCCUCCCCAGGCAAGAGGCUGGGUUCUGGUGGCUGCUUUGAGGCAAAAGUCACAGGCCUGGGCAAGUCACUUCCUCCCCGGGACUCCAGCAGGAAGAUGGAGUGGGGAGAUGGGCUCAGAAAGCUCCCUUCACCUCUGAUUCAGUUGGGAAGCAGAAGGCUCAGUGCUCAGCCCCACCCCACCCAGCCCCGAAGAAGCCCUUCAGCGGCUCAGCUGAUUGCCCUUUUAUAUUUAACUGUGGGAGAUGCUGCUCCAGGACAGCUCAGCAGGACUGUGGCUGUGACAGAAACAACAGGGCCUCCGGCAGGGAGUUAACGGGACCUCGGUUUGGGGUAACAGGGUCUCAGGAUGGAGGAAGUGGGGCCCUGGGACUGGCAUUUGCAGUCCUGGUCCCAGCCUUAAUUAGUGGGGUAACUGCGAACUUGUUUGCAGCCCUUGGGGAUUCCACCCGACCUGUGAAAUGACCAACACCCACCGCCCGAGCAGUAAGCAAGAAGCUCUCACUAAAAAUGAUGAGAGGGAGAGGGGAUGGCCAGCACGGGCCUCCAGAGAGCAGUGGAUUUCUUUUUUCAGGGCCGCGAUGAAGCAGGUUGCCCACCGCUGAGUUCAGUGACCGUAAAGUUAGCCAGCACGGACUGAGACGCGGCCCCGUGCUGGGCCUGCAUUCACAGUGCUCCCUUGAUGCUCACGACGCCCCCACGACGGCGGGACCCUUGCAGAGAAGGAAACCAGCGGCUCGUCUGAGGUCACAUGGUAUUUCCAUCACGUAAUUCACUCACUCUCUCCCGCCACGGGGGAUUCUAUUGCCCAGAAGGGUUCCAGGAUAUAGCCCAUGGGUUCUGAAGGAUCGACCUCAGUUUGGGACUCCAUCUCUUCCACACACACGGGUCCUAUCGCCCCAAAGCGUUCCAUCCCAGAGGAAGAGGCCCUUGAAGGCGAAAGUGCCUACAACCCAUAAAAGUCACAGUAUGGCCCUGGUUCUCUGCCCACCAGGGUCCCCUAUGCAAGUUUCACGGCAUAGCUAGUGCCUCCUUUAGGUGCCGCCCGGCACUCUGUGCCCCGCGAGUGCUGUAUCUCAGGGACAUCUGCACACCCGCCUGUACACCAACAAAGCUCUAUCCAGAGCUCAGCACCCCAUGCCACAUGCCCCUAGGAGAAGGUUCUAGCAUGUAAACCAGCGGUUCUCAAAGUGUGGUCCUGUCUGGGAGGCCAAGCCGCUCUACUGAUAACACUAAGCCAUUGUUUGCCCUUCUCACUCUCCUUCGCCAGUAGAGGUGCAGGCAGGGGAGCUUUCCACAGGCUCCAUCACAUGUGAUGAUGUCAUUUGCUCUGAUGGUAACGGACCGUGUGCUUGUGUGCCAGAUUCAAUUUCUAAUAUGUUAAACAACUAUAAAUAUAACCCACAAAAACUUAAACAAAACUUCUUUGAGACCCUCAAUAAUCUUUUAGAGUGUAAGUGGGUCCUACGACUAAACUUGAGACAUGCUGAUGUAGAUUGUGCAUUUUACCAAAGAACACACAGAGUUCUCUGGGUCACUGGUGCAUGCAUUCUGUCACCCAGACAUGAACCCUGUUGCAUGAUCUGAGCAUCCUGGAGCGUGCUCCCCCAUCAUGUGCUCGUUCACACAUGUGUUACCUUGCAUCAUGCAUGGGAUGAUGGCAACGUGCGACCUGGCAGCAUCUCACAUACAGCACACACCACGC